UCGGAAGGUGCGGCUGGAUCACCUCCUUUCGAGAACGACUUCGCCAUUCCAUGGCGUCCACACAAGUAACCUGCAUAUAUCCAGAAGCGCGGCAAGGCCGCCUUUGAGUCCUUCGGGGCUGUAGCUCAGCUGGGAGAGCACCUGCUUUGCAAGCAGGGGGUCGUCGGUUCGAUCCCGAUCAGCUCCACCAAGUGAUUGAGAGAGUUGACCGGGUCUGUAGCUCAGGUGGUUAGAGCGCGCCCCUGAUAAGGGCGAGGUCGGUGGUUCGAGUCCUCCCAGACCCACCAUUGAUCUCCACGCAGUUCCCUCUGCGGAACUCAAAGAAGAACCGCACAUCCCUGUGCGGACUCUUCACCAAGAGACCGCUCUGCUCGGGACUUGAAGCAAAACUUCUGGAUAUAACUGCGCACACUAAACGAUUUGAUACCGGCAAGACGUUGAGGUCUUGUUUGGGUUCUUUGACAACUUGGGACGUAACAAGCGUCUGAACUCUCACCGAGUUUAGAUGUGUCGUUGAGGCAAUUAGGCGAAUAUUGAAGAGAGUUGAUCGGCUCGGAGGCAACUUCGGGUUAUAUGAUCAAGCGAAUAAGCGUCUAC
rnacentral:tRNA from 1 species